rnacentral:pre_miRNA from 1 species
GAGGGGCGGGAGGGGGGUCCCCAGUGCUCGGAUCUCGAGAGUGCUUAUUGUUCGGUCCGAGCCUGGGUCUCCCUCUUCCCCCCAC